GCUGAACUUAAGCAUAUCAAUAAGCGGAGGAAAAGAAACUAACGAGGAUUCCCCUAGUAACUGCGAGUGAAGCGGGAAAAGCUCAAAUUUAAAAUCUGGCGUGCCCUCCGGCCGUCCGAGUUGUAGUCUGGAGAAGCGUCUUCCGUGCUGGACCGUGUACAAGUCCCUUGGAACAGGGCGUCAUAGAGGGUGAGAAUCCCGUCUUUGACACGGACUGCCAGCGCUCUGUGAUGCGCUCUCAACGAGUCGAGUUGUUUGGGAAUGCAGCUCAAAAUGGGUGGUAAAUUCCAUCUAAAGCUAAAUACAGGCGAGAGACCGAUAGCGAACAAGUACCGUGAGGGAAAGAUGAAAAGCACUUUGGAAAGAGAGUUAAACAGUACGUGAAAUUGCUGAAAGGGAAACGCUUGAAGUCAGUCGCGUUCGCCAGGACUCAGCCUUGCAUUUUUGCUUGGUGCACUUUCUGGUUGGACGGGCCAGCGUCGAUUUCGAUCGUUAGAAAAAGUNGGAGGGAACGUGGCACCUUUCGAGGUGUGUUUAUAGCCCUUUGUCGCAUGUGACGGUCGGGAUCGAGGAUCGCAGCACGCCCUUUAACGAGGGCUGGANNGUCGCUCACACANNUGCUUAGGAUGCUGGCUUAAUGGCUUUAAGCGACCCGUCUUGAAACACGGACCAAGGAGUCUAACGUGCCUGCGAGUGUUUGGGUGGAAAACCCGAGCGCGUAAUGAAAGUGAUAGUUGAGACCUUCGUCGUGGAGGGCAUCGACGCCUGGACUUGAUCUACGGAGACGGUUCCACGGUAGAGCAUGCAUGUUGGGACCCGAAAGAUGGUGAACUAUGCCUGAAUAGGGUGAAGCCAGAGGAAACUCUGGUGGAAGCUCGUAGCGAUUCUGACGUGCAAAUCGAUCGUCAAAUUUGGGUAUAGGGGCGAAAGACUAAUCGAACCGUCUAGUAGCUGGUUCCUGCCGAAGUUUCCCUCAGG
rnacentral:rRNA from 1 species